UAGAAAAAACACUUUAAAAAAUUGCUGCUUGUGCAAUGAAGGUACAAUAAAAGGACUCCUCUGAUCUGACUGGUGUACAGUUAACAUUUCGAAUUCCAGCGGGACAUUUUACCAGAAACUUGCACAGACAAGACAGAGACUGUGAAACAUGAAGGCUGUUAUUUUUGCUGUUUUUGUGCUGCUGCUCAUCAG